rnacentral:lncRNA from 1 species
GAGAUUUUGUUGGUUCCGCAUUUCGGGUCUGCGAGGUGGGGUAGGCGGGCAAGGCGGGCGCCGAGGUUUGCAAAGGCUCGCAGCGGCCAGAAACCCGGCUCCGAGCGGCGGCGGCCCGGCUUCCGCUGCCCGUGAGCUAAGGACGGUCCGCUCCCUCUAGCCAGCUCCGAAUCCUGAUCCAGGCGGGGGCCAGGGGCCCCUCGCCUCCCCUCUGAGGACCGAAGAUGAGCUUCCUCUUGUCCAGUUUCAUUAUUGUCGGUGUUAAAUGCCGCCCCAGGAGAAUGUGCGUUGCCGCAGUUUGAGAAGCUUGAAGUUAAGAUGCUGGCCUUGGAGUCGGAUCGUUCUGUCCAGUUCUGAUUCUGCCCACUUACUGGCUUUGAUUUUAACCAACUUCUCUUGUCCUCGCAGCAGCCGCUCUUCUAAAACAUUCAAACCAAAGAAGAAUAUCCCUGAAGGAUCUCAUCAGUAUGAACUCUUAAAAC